rnacentral:rRNA from 1 species
GACGAACGCUGGCGGCGUGCCUAAUACAUGCAAGUAGAACGCUGAAGGAGGAGCUUGCUUCUCUGGAUGAGUUGCGAACGGGUGAGUAACGCGUAGGUAACCUGCCUGGUAGCGGGGGAUAACUUUUGGAAACGAUAGCUAAUACCGCAUAAUAGUAGAUGUUGCAUGACAUUUGCUUAAAAGUUGCACUUGCAUCACUACCAGAUGCCCCUGCGUUGUAUUAGCUUGUUGGUGUGGUAACGGCUCACCAAGGCGGCGAUACAUAGCCGACCUGAGAGGGUGGUUGGCCACACUGGGACUGAGACACGGCCCAAGCUGCUAAGGGAAGGAGCAAGAGGGAAACUUUGGCAAUGGGGGGAAAGCUGAACGAAGAACGCCGCGGGAGGGAAGAAGGGUUUCGGGUCGGAAAGGCCUGUUGUAAGGGAAGAAAGAGUGUGAGAGUGGAAAGUUGACGCUGUGACGGUAUCUUACCAAAAAGGAACGGCUAACUACGUG